UCUGGGCAUGGUGGUGCAUGCCUGUAAUCCCAGAGGCUCAGGAGGCUGAGGCAGGAGGACUGAGUAGGCCAGUCUCAGCAACUUAGUGAGGCCUCAAGCAACUUUGCAAGAGCCUGUCUCAU
rnacentral:sRNA from 1 species